AGCAUUAAUGGACACAUUGAAUCAGCCAGAAUCUUAGAGGGCCAACACUAGACUGACCAUCACAUAUAACAUGAAAAGCAGCCCAGCAGAUCCAAAGCAACCUAUAUACAAAAGUAGAGUACAUGAAAAACAUCAACACACAUGACUGUGACAGUGCUUUCUUUUGGUUGCCGUUUCAACCCAGUGAACAAAAGGCAGUGGAUGCAUUUGUACAGAAUUCAACAAAAACAGAUACACUGUAAUGAAAAGAGUGAGAAAAAAAAUCAACCAACAACUUCAAAGAAGACUACAGUAUCUACAACAACGACAAAAGCUACCACUGUGACUACAUCAGCCCCACCCCCACCUCCUGGGGGAAGGAAGAGUAGUUUAAGAUCAACGGGUCACCUGGAAAGGGGGGGGGGGGUAGAAGGCGUACAUGUUAAGCCCUACAUUGUCUAUAUAAAAGGUCUAUGUAUCUUCAUUCAUUAUGUAGAUUUCUAUUCAUUAUUCUUGUGGUUGUGUAAGAUUUUCACACACUUCAUGAUAGGGCUGGGCAAUAAUAUCGAUAUUUCAAUAUAUUGCAAUACAAUGACAAAAAAUAUCGUAUCGCAAUUACGAUUUUGUAAUAUCGAUAUAUUGGCAAUAUUUUUAGAUAAAGGAAUUUUGUCAUUAAAUAUAAAAAUGGACUUAUGAAAGUUUGUUAUUAAGCCAAACAGUAAGUCAGAAGUUGUUUUGUGGGAACAUUUCAGAGCAUAACUUAAAUGAAAUCAACAAGAUUUUUUUGUGUUGGUUACUUAUCAUAGUUAUGUACAUUCUGCAUGUAAAUUAAAGUAAAUAUAGUAAGAAAAUGCCAUUUUUAUUACAUUGAAAAUAUUGCAAUACAUAUCGCAAUACAGUUAAAAAUAUCGCAAUAUAUCGCAAUACGAAAUCUCGGGCCAAUACC